rnacentral:rRNA from 1 species
AUUGAACGCUGGCGGCAUGCCUUACACAUGCAAGUCGAACGGCAGCACGGGAGCAAUCCUGGUGGCGAGUGGCGAACGGGUGAGUAAUGUAUCGGAACGUACCUUUCAGUGGGGGAUAACGUAGCGAAAGUUACGCUAAUACCGCAUAUUCUGUGAGCAGGAAAGCAGGGGAUCGCAAGACCUUGCGCUGAUUGAGCGGCCGAUAUCAGAUUAGCUAGUUGGUGAGGUAAAGGCUCACCAAGGCGACGAUCUGUAGCGGGUCUGAGAGGAUGAUCCGCCACACUGGAACUGAGACACGGUCCAGACUCCUACGGGAGGCAGCAGUGGGGAAUUUUGGACAAUGGGCGCAAGCCUGAUCCAGCCAUGCCGCGUGGGUGAAGAAGGCCUCGGUU